GAUAAAAAGGAAGAAAGCCCACGUUCGGGCACCAGAAAGAAAAGAAAGAAAAGAAGAAGAAUAAUAAGGAGAAGAGAAAAGGGAAGAAAGGAAAAGGGUUUUGGCACGUGCACGCCACGGAUGCUUCGCCUAGCCGACUCUACUCCUUAACGCAGCACCCGAUUCGUCAGUUAACAGCGAAUAAAGCGAGUGCGCCGUCGGUGGAAAACUUUUUGGGGAGUUUUAUUUUUGGGUAUGGUCAAAGGAAAUGGUGUACAUAUUCCUUGCUAGUGGUUGGAUUGUCUGAGUUAUAAUUGUAUAUUUCUUUUUGGUGGAUUAUAGAAACUCUGAUAUUGCAACAAAUCUGUGGUCUAUCUGAUAUGUA